rnacentral:rRNA from 1 species
AGAGUUUGAUCCUGGCUCAGGAUGAACGCUGGCGGCGUGCUUAACACAUGCAAGUCGAGCGAAGCAGUUAAGAAGAUUCUUCGGAUGAAACUUGAUUGACUGAGCGGCGGACGGGUGAGUAACGCGUGGGUGACCUGCCCCAUACCGGGGGAUAACAGCUGGAAACGGCUGCUAAUACCGCAUAAGCGCACAGAGCUGCAUGGCUCGGUGUGAAAAACUCCGGUGGUAUGGGAUGGGCCCGCGUCUGAUUAGGCAGUUGGCGGGGUAACGGCCCACCAAACCGACGAUCAGUAGCCGGCCUGAGAGGGCGACCGGCCACAUUGGGACUGAGACACGGCCCAAACUCCUACGGGAGGCAGCAGUGGGGAAUAUUGCACAAUGGGGAAACCCUGAUGCAGCGACGCCGCGUGAGCGAAGAAGUAUUUCGGUAUGUAAAGCUCUAUCAGCAGGGAAGAUAAUGACGGUACCUGACUAAGAAGCCCCGGCUAACUACGUGCCAGCAGCCGCGGUAAUACGUAGGGGGCAAGCGUUAUCCGGAUUUACUGGGUGUAAAGGGAGCGUAGACGGCAAGGCAAGUCUGAUGUGAAAACCCAGGGCUUAACCCUGGGACUGCAUUGGAAACUGUCUGGCUCGAGUGCCGGAGAGGUAAGCGGAAUUCCUAGUGUAGCGGUGAAAUGCGUAGAUAUUAGGAAGAACACCAGUGGCGAAGGCGGCUUACUGGACGGUAACUGACGUUGAGGCUCGAAAGCGUGGGGAGCAAACAGGAUUAGAUACCCUGGUAGUCCACGCCGUAAACGAUGAAAUUCUAAGUUUUUGGGGAGCAAAGCUCUUUGGUACCGCCGCAAACGCAUUAAGCAUUUCCAACCUGGGGAGUACGUUUCACAAGAAUGAAACUCAAAGGAAAUUGACGGGGACCCUCACAAGCGGUGGAGCAUGUGGUUUAAUUCGAAGCAACGCGAAGAACCUUACCAGGUCUUGACAUCCCGAUGACCGGCCCGUAACGGGGCUUUCUCUUCGGAGCAUUGGAGACAGGAGGUGCAUGGUUUGUCGUCAGCUCGUGUCGUGAGAUGUUGGGUUAAGUCCCGCAACGAGCGCAACCCUUAUCCUCAGUUGCCAGCAGGUAAAGCUGGGCACUCUGUGGAGACUGCCAGGGAUAACCUGGAGGAAGGUGGGGAUGACGUCAAAUCAUCAUGCCCCUUAUGAUCUGGGCUACACACGUGCUACAAUGGCGUAAACAAAGGGAGGCAAAGCCGCGAGGUGGAGCAAAUCCCAAAAAUAACGUCUCAGUUCGGACUGCAGUCUGCAACUCGACUGCACGAAGCUGGAAUCGCUAGUAAUCGCGAAUCAGAAUGUCGCGGUGAAUACGUUCCCGGGUCUUGCACACACCGCCCG